ACCACCACCACCACCACCCACGCCCGUCUCCCCUCUCUCCCCAUGUCCUCUCCGUCUGCACGUGGGAUCGCCACAAGCAGCCGCUCAUCGCGGGGGGCACAUGAAGCGAGUCGGCGAAGCCACCCAGUGAGUCACUGCCACGAAUCGUUAAGGUGCCCGGUUGAGCACGGAGCAGAAGUGGGGAGAGAGAGAGGAGGAGGAGGAGGAAGGAGGAGGAGGAGAGAAGACGGAAGACAAUAGCGCGUAACAUAUUGCGGGGAGUGUAGAGAGGAGAGAGAGAGGGGGGGGGGGAGAGUUAGAGAGGGAGGUGGGAGAGACGGGAGGCGAGAGGGUGAGGGGAGACAGCCAGGCGAGAGGCGCAUCGAGCGAUAUAUGCUGCAGAGAACAGACUGCCGCGUACCUAGCGACUGAGAGAGACUCGGCGACACGCAGAAGGAAGGUCCAGCAAUUAAACUGGCGGAGAGCAGAUAUAGUGAGCGACGCAGACAGACAGACACGCGUACAGGGCAACAUUGAGACUGGCAGAGAGGGAGAGAGAGAUACAAAAAAUAUCAAUCUGAGAAUAUUCAGAUACUGAGACGCGGGGAGACAUCGGGGUAGAGAGAGUACAGACACGCAGACGGACACGGAGACAGACCGACUUACAUUCAGAUCGACGGACUGACUGGGCAGGCUUUUGAGAUAUUCAGCUACGGACACAAACACACACAGGCAGAGAGACCAGACGUGUGACACACGCGGUCACUCACACGCUCUGAGACACAAACACAAGCGCUCGCGCACACACAAAGACACACACAUCCAGGCAGAGGCCAGCGGCAAACCGGGACACGCACGCCCACGGAUACACACACCGACGCAGAGAUA